CUCACAGCUCAGGGGUGGGGGCCGGGGGGGACAAUCCCCAUUUUUGUGAUUCUUCUAUGAGGAUUGUGGGUAUCCACCCUGCUAUUGUAUAGUUUUAUAUCUUGAUUGAUUGUUUUUAUUUUCACUUGUUUAUUUAGAUUUCCAUGUGUAGCUCACUGGAUGGUCAUGACGCUGGGGAUAUGGACCUUUUGAAAGAUUUGAAGAUGGACUAUGAGACUUUUGCACAUUUGAAGCGAUUACAUUGG